rnacentral:rRNA from 1 species
UACGAAGGGGGCUAGCGUUGUUCGGAAUCACUGGGCGUAAAGCGCACGCAGGCGGAUCGUUAAGUCAGGGGUGAAAUGCCGAGGCUCAACCUCGGAACUGCCUUUGAUACUGGCGAUCUUAGAGUCCGGGAGAGGUGAGUGGAACUGCGAGUGUAGAGGUGAAAUUCGUAGAUAUUCGCAAGAACACCAGUGGCGAAGGCGGCUCACUGGCCCGGUACUGACGCUGAGGUGCGAAAGCGUGGGGAGCAAACAGG